UUGUGACCACGGUGUUUUGUCAUAACAACAGAACUCCCAACUAGGACACCUAUCCAGAGACGCUCUCAUAGCAAUCCUCUCAGCUCUUUGGCUCUUGUAAUCCUUCUGCUCCCUUCUUCUGCAAUGUAUCCAAAAGGUUUUAUUUGCCCCUUUUCAACCUGAUGCCUUUCCGCAGCCCUGAACAGAGUCAACGACCACCUAUAUAUGAAUUCUACACUGCGAGGGAGAAGAGGUUGGAAUGGCUGACCACCAAGAACCUUUCCAGGAUGUGCCGUUAGGAAGCCAUGUAAUUCAUCUAGUCUGUGCUCACUGUGGCCUCAGACCUAAACAGUGUGUAUGUGCACAGCGCUGCCUUGGGUUCAAGUACAGAGUACAUGCGUAUUAGGAGCGAAGGCUAAACGUACAGAAUUGCUGUUAAGAACAUCGACUUACCAAACCUCCAUUGGGUACUUCCUGGGUUCAGCACCGGAAGACGAGGGAUAAAACUCUCACUGCUCUCAGAGAGAAAGAGGCUCAUUUGGCUCAUUGAUUGAAGAAAUACGGUGUGGGAAUCGUGGUAGCAGGUUCAAUGGGCAGCUGGUUCACGUAUGGCAGCUCGCUCAGUGUUCGACUGUUGAUUCCGUCUCAGCAGCCCAGGAAGCAGAGGAGGAGAAAGGCCAUUCUCUGUAUUUAGUCUGGUACUGUUUGGGGUUUGUGCCAUCCACGCUCUGCGUGGGUCUUCCCUCUUUCCUUAACCCUCCUGAAUACCUUCACACGAGCUAGAGGUGUCUCCUAGGUGAUUCUGAACCCAUAGAGGCUGACGGUGAAGAUGAAUCAUCAGAAUCCCACCCCCCAUCACUUUAAAACUCUAAUAUUCCCUCCCCCAACCCCCAAGGGCUCGUAGCCAUCUCGUGAUGUAAGAAGCAUCUAGUUCGCUGGAAGAAUCCCGAGCCUUAACAGUUUCAAUGACGUCCAAAAGCUCAGAAUCUCCUCUAAGACUCAAGGCAAUCUUGACUACGAGCAACUGUAAAUAAAAAUUAAACCAUAUACUUCUAAUACGCAA
rnacentral:sRNA from 1 species